rnacentral:snoRNA from 2 species
GAAUUCAAUGAUGAUUAUUUGUUUCCCUUAAUAGUUUGAUUGCCUGAAUGAUGGUAUUUUGUAUAAGCUCUAUCUGACCAUUC